UUUAUUGGCAAUUUUCUAAUUGACAUACAACCUGUAUAUAUAUUUGUAAAAUUUGAUAUACAAUACCUUGUUCGCUUGAUCUUUUGACAGAAAUAUGUAUGCGAGAUUGCGAGAUCACACUUCGCUAGUAUAAAGUAGCAAGUUUGGUAAAGGUAUAGCGAGUUCACAAUUCACAGCUUUUUUGAAAAACAUAAUAUGAACGGCCCCUUUGGAUUUGAUUUGCCCAAAAGAUCCCCAUGAAUACACACCAAAAUAUUAAAAGUCGAUAUUUUUGAAAAAUUGUUGUCAGGAACGAUUCACGAAGGAAGGAAAAAGCCUGCGAACAGGCGUUUAGAAAGAAAGCGGAAGUUAAGCUGGAAUUUUG
rnacentral:lncRNA from 1 species